rnacentral:rRNA from 1 species
AAACAAAAACCAGAAAAAGAAAUGG